rnacentral:rRNA from 1 species
UACAGAGGUGGCAAGCGUUGUUCGGAAUUACUGGGCGUAAAGGGCGCGUAGGCGGUUCGUUAAGUCCUGUGUGAAAUCCCCCGGCUCAACUGGGGAACUGCACAGGAAACUAGCGGGCUUGAGUUCGGGAGAGGGAAGCGGAAUUCCACGUGUAGCGGUGAAAUGCGUAGAGAUGUGGAGGAACACCAAUGGCGAAGGCAGCCUUCUGGGCCAACACUGACGCUCAUGCACGAAAGCGUGGGGAGCAAACAGG